AUGGCUUCGCCGUCGCUCCUGACCGUGCACCUGCGCGGGUCUGCUUCGCCGCCCGACGCCGCCUCGUCGGUUGCGAUCGAGGUGGAGGGAGGCGACGGGGUGGACCUCGCCCAGGUGGGCCUCGCGCUGGGGCUGGACCCGGACACUGUCGGCCUCAACGGCUACUUCCUAAGCUGCGGCUCCGGCUACGUUUCCUUGGCGGUCACCUGGGGCGAGCUCCUCGCCUUCUUCGCCACGGGCGGGCAGCCCACGGGUGCCGACCCCGACGCGCCCGUCGCCGUUGACGGACGGCCCGUACCUUCUCCGCCAGAGCCCAGAGUUGUUCUGUCCUCAAAGCGAAAGCCUGAGUUGGAGACCGAAAAUUGUUCCAAGAAAAGCAAGCUCCAACACAGCAGCUCAACUCAGUCACAAGCAGACGAAGAACUACUUCCUGAUGAUAUCACCCUUGGUUUGAAGAGAAGACUCACAUUGGACGAGGCUAGUCCAUCUAAGAAGAUUAAACAUGUAGACUCCGUAGAAGCACAGCAGCCAGUUACAUACUCUUGCAGCUUCGCCAGCAGUCACGACAAGCGGCCAACGGAUGAGGAGAUGGUCAUCUCAAUGUCGCGCAAGGGAGUCUGGUGA
rnacentral:rRNA from 1 species